GUAAACGGCGGCCGUAACUAUAACGGUCCUAAGGUAGCGAAAUUCCUUGUCGGGUAAGUUCCGACCUGCACGAAUGGCGUAAUGAUGGCCAGGCUGUCUCCACCCGAGACUCAGUGAAAUUGAACUCGCUGUGAAGAUGCAGUGUACCCGCGGCAAGACGGAAAGACCCCGUGAACCUUUACUAUAGCUUGACACUGAACAUUGAGCCUUGAUGUGUAGGAUAGGUGGGAGGCUUUGAAGCGUGGACGCCAGUCUGCGUGGAGCCAACCUUGAAAUACCACCCUUUAAUGUUUGAUGUUCUAACGUAGGCCCCUGACCGGGGUUGCGGACAGUGUCUGGUGGGUAGUUUGACUGGGGCGGUCUCCUCCCAAAGAGUAACGGAGGAGCACGAAGGUUAGCUAAUCCUGGUCGGACAUCAGGAGGUUAGUGCAAUGGCAUAAGCUAGCUUGACUGCGAGCGUGACGGCGCGAGCAGGUGCGAAAGCAGGUCAUAGUGAUCCGGUGGUUCUGAAUGGAAGGGCCAUCGCUCAACGGAUAAAAGGUACUCCGGGGAUAACAGGCUGAUACCGCCCAAGAGUUCAUAUCGACGGCGGUGUUUGGCACCUCGAUGUCGGCUCAUCACAUCCUGGGGCUGAAGUAGGUCCCAAGGGUAUGGCUGUUCGCCAUUUAAAGUGGUACGCGAGCUGGGUUUAGAACGUCGUGAGACAGUUCGGUCCCUAUCUGCCGUGGGCGCUGGAGAAUUGAGGGGGGCUGCUCCUAGUACGAGAGGACCGGAGUGGACGCAUCACUGGUGUUCGGGUUGUCAUGCCAAUGGCACUGCCCGGUAGCUAAAUGCGGAAGAGAUAAGUGCUGAAAGCAUCUAAGCACGAAACUUGCCCCGAGAUGAGUUCUCCCUGAGACUUUAAGUCUCCUGAAGGAACGUUGAAGACGACGACGUUGAUAGGCCGGGUGUGUAAGCGCAGCGAUGCGUUGAGCUAACCGGUACUAAUGAACCGUGAGGCUUAACCUU
rnacentral:rRNA from 1 species